CAGGACAAGGCCUUGACGUCGUCCUGGUUGGUGUCCAGCUGCCUGGAAUGAAGACACGCACGCUUGAUGAACAGUCCACUGAUCCGCUUCAUCUUGUUUCUGCUGUGGGUUAUCCGUACGAGUGACAUAGUGAUGGCACACGGGGCUGCCUCCUCUCCUGAGAACUCGUAUUUAUGAUUCUGUGAAGGUGUCAGAAGAGGAAGAUCCAGCUGGCUUUGUGCGUUGUCCGCGUGUGAGAUGUGGGGUCAGCCCUGCC
rnacentral:lncRNA from 1 species